GACAGAGGGUGCAAACGUUGUUCGGAAUUACUGGGCGUAAAGCGCGUGUAGGUGGUGGGGCAAGUCGGAUGUGAAAGCCCAGGGCUCAACCCUGGAAGUGCAUUCGAUACUGCUUCACUGGAGUCCCGGAGAGGAUGGUGGAACUCUCGGUGUAGAGGUGAAAUUCGUAGAUAUCGAGAAGAACACCGGCGGCGAAGGCGGCCAUCUGGACGGUGACUGACACUGAGACGCGAAAGCGUGGGGGAGCAAACAGG
rnacentral:rRNA from 1 species